UAGAUAAUAAUUACAGUAUAUAUAAAAUAAGAUCCAUAUUAAGGCAAAAAUACACCAAGUUAAAAACCGUUCUCUGUGGCAUGAUAGGUAUGGAAAUUGUUUCGCCAAACAGAGCAAGUAUAAGAAAUGUUGACAAGGAAAAUUCAAGAGGAAAGCCUGAGAACAUAUUUGUUCACAUAUAACAGCGUGUAUGACUCAUUGAGUUUGUAUACRUUGGCUGAAAUGUUUGAUUUGCCUCCGUCUGUGGUGCACAGCACUAUCAGCAAAAUGAUCAUCAAUGAAGAACUGCAGGCCUCUUGGGAUGAGCCAACUCAGACAGUUGUAAUGCGCCGAGGAGC